GACGAACGCUGGCGGCGUGCUUAACACAUGCAAGUCGAGCGGUAAGGCCCUUUCGGGGGUACACGAGCGGCGAACGGGUGAGUAACACGUGGGUGACCUGCCCUCAGCUCUGGGAUAAGCCUGGGAAACCGGGUCUAAUACUGGAUAUGACUCCAUGACGCAUGUUGUGGGGUGGAAAGCCUUGUGCGGCUGAGGAUGGGCCCGCGGCCUAUCAGCUUGUUGGUGGGGGAUGGCCUACCAAGGCGACGACGGGUAGCCGGCCUGAGAGGGCGACCGGCCACACUGGGACUGAGACACGGCCCAGACUCCUACGGGAGGCAGCAGUGGGGAAUAUUGCACAAUGGGCGCAAGCCUGAUGCAGCGACGCCGCGUGAGGGAUGACGGCCU
rnacentral:rRNA from 1 species